UACGUAGGUGGCGAGCGUUGUCCGGAUUUAUUGGGUUUAAAGGGUGCGUAGGCGGCCCUAUAAGUCAGUGGUGAAAUAUCGCAGCUUAACUGUGAGGGUGCCAUUGAUACUGUAGGGCUUGAGUGAAUUUGAGGUAGGCGGAAUUGACGGUGUAGCGGUGAAAUGCUUAGAUAUCGGGAGGAACACCUGUGGCGAAAGCGGCUCACUGGACCGCAACUGACGCUGAGGCGCGAAAGCUAGGGGAGCAAACAGG
rnacentral:rRNA from 1 species